CUGGGCCUGUGGGGAACUGCUGGCAGCAGACACUUGCCAGGGUUGCUGAUGACGAUGCCAGGAUGCACCCAUGCAACACCAUGCUGGUUCAGGCGCCCCCUCUUAAAGGCUCAGCGCGUAACUCCCACCCCAGGGUCUAGCCUUAGCUGCGCAGGGUCCCUGAUCAGGGUCAGCUCAUCUCUUCUGCAGCAGGAGGGUGGUGCAUGUGAGUGUGAAAGUGAGAGAACGUGGGUGUGUGAGUAGACAGACGAGUGAAAGGAUCAUGUGUGAUGAGUGUAGGUGAGUGUGUGCUGUGUGUGACCACAUAUGACCAUGUGCGUGUAAUGAGUGGACGUGUGCAAUGCCAUGUGUGCAGGUAUACAAACCAGCUGGGGAUGUGGGUGGGAACGGCUGUCUAUGUCCAUGUGUACAUUCAUGGGUUUGUGUGUAACAGUUUCUGGGUAAGCUGUGUGGUGUGUGGAUGUGUGUACACGUGACUCUGUGUGACAGCAGAGAUGUGAAUUUGAGUCCUGGUUCUGCCAUUUCCUAAAUGUGUUGAAAACUUAAAUAAAUCCCUUCCCCUCCUUCUGUAAAAUGGGAUGGCAUAGACAAGAUAUCUCUUAAGUUCCCUUCUAGCUUUGAUAUUCAGUGACCAGUUUAGGAGUUGAGCACAAGUGUGUGAAAGUUGUGUGUGCACCUGUGUGUGUGUGCACACGCGGCAGCAGAGUGGUGCUGUGCAAAGGGCAUGGCUUUGAAUUCUGAUUCCACGUUUAACAGUUAUGUGGUCUCAGCUUAGUCCCUUCCCCUCUCUGAGCCUCAGUUUCCUCGUCUGCAGAUGCUAGUGAUUCUUACAGGGCUGCUGUGAGGACUAGGAAAUAUUGUUUGCAAUGGGUCUAGCUUGGAAUCUGGCUGAGUUCCCUCUGCAAGAGAUGCAUGUGUGUGUGUGCAUGUCUGUGUGGAUAUGCGUGUGUGCACGUGGACGGCCAUGCUCACAUGCUUGACUGUGCAGGUUGGUCUGGAAAACAGAGUAAUUGAUCUAGAUCACUCCUGCCCUCUGGGGUUUCUGACUGCUUGGGACACAGCCACCCAGGAGAGGUAGAGCUGGGCAGUCAAUUUCCAGCUACCCACCUGGCCCCACGUGAUUCUGAGGGCUGCCCCAGACUGUCACAUGGGCGCAGUGGCCUGGAAAGGAGGAUUGGUGUGGGCAGGAGACAGGCCUCCUAAAUCCGCUUAGUGCCCACCCCACUAUUCGGGGUAUUAGAGACUAAAGAAAUUCUUCUUCUUCUUAGAGGGUCAACUGCCAACCUGGGAUGGUGGCUGAGCUGAGCGUGAACCCCUGAGCCCCAUGCCCAUCUAGAAUGAGGCUUCAGAGUGGAGGGCCAGGAACAGACAGGGUCCUGCCCUCAGAGAGCUCCCAGCCAGAUGGAGAGAGCCAGGAGAGUCAGGCUCGAAAGCGGGGUGGGGGUAAGGAAGGUUUUCUAGCAGGAAGCAGGCUGGAGGGACUCGUAGAGGCUGGAAAGGGAAAGGAGAGCCUUCUGGAUGGGAAGACCAGUGUGAACAAAUGUGGAGUGAUGGGAAUGAGCAACGUGUGUGUGUGUGUGUGUGUGUGUGUGUGUAUGUGUGUGUGUAGGGGACGACAGGAAGAGGGUGGUGUAGGGGACCUUGGAGAACAUCAGAUCCAAUCUUCCAUUUUCUUGGUGAGGAAAUGAAGGUAGAGAAGGGAGAGGAUACGGAUGCGCCUCUGGGCAGAGUGCAGUCAUUCUGCUUCCCAACUGGAGUUUAGGGUCUGCCCUUAAUUCCUGGGUUCUGAAGAGGGGUGUCAAGCUGAGCUGCCACGGGCCCUCCUUUAGCUGGUCCCACAGGGUUCUUGAUGAACUGGGGCAGAUGGUGAGCCGUGAUGUGUGUCUUCAGGCCAAUGGAAGGCUCUGGGGCUAAACAAUCUAGAGCAGCUACUAACACUUGGACCUAAUCUGCCUGGGCAGGUGCCAAACUCAGAUCCUUGACACCCAGAGAAGAUCACCAACACUAGACCACAGGUACUAGAUGGGCUUCCAAGACACACCAGGAAAGGCUCCAACAACCUGACCUGGAGAGGAACACCACACCCAGACUCUGAACCCGGAGAAACAAUCCCCACACCUGGACCAGGUACCUCUGGACCAGCUUCCAAUGCAAACUUUGCCUGAGUGGAUCCCUACAACUCCAUCCAGAAACUCAGUGAAGGUCCCAACAUCUAGAGGAGAGCACCCAGAGAGGGUCCCGACACCUGAACUCUGAACAAUGAGAUCCCAACACGGGCCCAGAUGACAUCUGAUUGACUUCCAACUCAGACACAGAACACCCUGAUUGUAUCCCAGCAACCUGACCCAGAACACCCGGAGCUGGUCCCAACACCUAACAGACCCCCCCUGCCCCGCUCCGUCCCUUCCGCCCCCAAUCCAUCUUCGGAUGAGCUCAUCCCGAGAGGCUUUCGCAGGUUCCAGGGCUUUUUCUGGGGGAAAUCUGUGGUCGUCCUUCGGGAUGCCUGGGAUGACGAGGGGGCAGGAGGCGAGGCCCACGCCCUUUGCAGGGAGGGCUGGGGGUCCAGCUUGAGGAGUGGGCUUUGGCUGCUGCCUGCUGGAGGGUGGGGUGGGAGCGGACGGGCGGGGAGUGCGCGGCAGCCCCCUCCAGCCGCCCCCAGCGCUGGGCGGAAACCGUGCGCCCUGCGAGGCCCAGCAGAUUCCGUGCCGCGCGCCCCCCAAACAGCCCGCGGGGCGCUGGGCGCGGGGCCAGGAAAUCCGGCGCCGGCCCUUGAAGCGGCCCCAGGUCGGGCGGGGGCGGGUGGCCGCUGGCACCGAAGCCGCCGAGCAACGUGACCGCGCGGCCCCACCGCGGCCUCGGGUCCCCACCGGGACAAGGCGGCCUCUGUGCCGACGCAGCUGAUCCCAAAUCCCUUCCGGCUGACAGCCCGCGCCGGCUGGGGCCCGGCGGCGUGGGAACCGGGUCGAGUGGGGCCGGGGGUGAGGUGGGCGCGAGGGGAGCGGAAUCUAGUGGCGGCGCCCCCGCCCAGAGGCCGUCUGCUCCGGACAGCGUAUUUCGCUCCCCGAGGGUAGCAAGAGUUACCGCACUUCCCAGACAGGGAGACUGAGGCUCGCGGUAGUGAGCAGUAGUCUUAGCCCAUUUCUUGGUUAAAACCAGGGAUCUAAAUUAAGCCCCCGUGAUAAACUACAUACAUUGUUGAGAGCUGGGCGGCAUCGCGAUCCCCAUUUUAUAAAUGAGGGAACUGAGGCUCAGAGAGUUGAAGCCACCUGUCCAAGGUUCCCAGACAGGUGGAGUGAGGGGGGGACUGGAGCCACCUCUGCUGACUCAACGCGGGGCGCUAUGUGUAUGCAGUCCCCCUGCUGGACCCCCUGGCCACCAGGUAGUCAUGGAACAUCCCAUGGGAGGUUCUGGGGAGGGUGUAAGCCCCUGGGUCCAUCUGGUCAAGGAGUUGUGUUUCUGGGUUCCUGAGUGUGGUGGACCCAGUGAAAGUGUGGAGUUAAUCUCCUGGAGGACGGAUAUGGGGCUGAAGUGGGGAGACAUCAGAGUGAGGGAGACAGGUGUGGGGAUGGAGAGGGGCUUGGAGGGAAAUGAACCAGGGGGAUGCCUGCUGAGUGCCCCUCUGCUCUGCCCUUAACAGCUGGGGACAAAGCUGGAAUCUGAGAGGCUGGAGAAAGGGUCAUGGAGGGGUGAUGCGCUAGAACAGCCUCACCCUGGCCUCUGGGAACGGGAUGGGGAUUGUCCGGUGGAUUCUUUGGAAUUAAAAAGUGGCACCUUCUUAGUGCAGGGGGAGCCUGGCUAGACCCUGGGUUUUGUCCAGCCCCUGUCCUAUCUCCCAGGACUGGGGCAGCUCAGGAUUUUUCCCCCUUUCCUUGACUAAUGUUUGAUCUAGACAGGCAGUGUGGGGGGCCGGGGGAGGAGGGAGGAUGGCAGGGGCUGGGGGUGGGGUGUUUGCCGAGUGUGCACGGGAGUCUCCCGGGGUGAACGUGCCUGUGUGUGUCUGCGCACGGGCUGCAUAUCUCUGUGUGACGGUCUUAUGUGCGUGUGCCUCUGAGAAUGAGCCUGUCUGGCGGGACAGGCAUAUUGUUUCUGCGUGUGUUGUUUGUGUGUGAUCCCUUUUGCUUCAUCUGGAUCUAUGUUAUCUCUCUGGGUCUGCGUGUUUGUGGCUUUACUGGUAUCAGUGAGUCUUUGUGUGUGGGCCUCCCUCCCGGCCCCCCCGCCGCAUCAGGGCCCCGAAUGCCACUUUGCUGCCUAAGUGUGCUGAGGAAUGUGAGGGGCGAGGGGCGAGGGGAGCACACGUACUGGGCUGCGGGCCUGCUGGUUAUGGAAAACUACUGAGGCCUCCUGGGGAUGGGCUGGCCAAACCGGCCCAGAGCCUGGCUCGGCAGCUUUUGCCCUCCCAGGCUCCUCCCCCUCUUCUCUGCAGGGCUGGGGACCUGCCGAGAUGGGUCUUCCAUUAAGCAGAGAGCAUGGCCUCCCUCCCACCACUCCCCAGAUGGCUAGCCGGGCCUCCGCCCUUCCCUGGGCCUAAGCAUCCCUUGGAGAGGGGGAAAGUGAGGCGGUGGGAUUAUAUUUUCUCUGAAGCCCUUCCCAGCCCUGACAUUCUCUCCAUUCUGUGAACGUUAAAGGGAUUUAAAGAGGGCAAUUUCACCCCCAUUUCAGGGAUCGUGAAAGCAUAGGGCCCUAGACUAUUAGAGUGAGACAGGCUCCUAAGAAUGGCCUCAUCCUAUUCCCUCCAUCUUAUACACGGGGAGAAAGUGAGGCCUGGAUCCAGAUCCCCCAGGUACCUUCCGGAAGGACAGGGAUCAAGUUUUCAGGUCUCCUGUCUCUCAGUUGCCGGCCCUUCCGCCAUCAUGGCUGCUUUUCAGCUCGGCCUAAUCAGCAUGGAAGGAGAGGCCUUUGAGAUGACCUUGAAGGAUGGGAGGGCUUUGACAUUUGGAGAUGGGGUCGAGCCAGACAAGCAGCCUGUGGCAAGAAGACAUGGGUUGAGAUAUGGAAGUGGGCCGGUAAGGAGUGCAGUCAGGAUGGAGAGCUGGGAGGCACCAGUUGGGCACAGUAGGUGAUGGGACUGAAAAAGGUGUGUCUGAGGCGCCCCGGAGGCCAGGCAGAAGUGUGAGGACUUUAUCCGCUAGGUGUUUCUGGCAGAAGAGGCCAAUUAGCAGUGUAGCAGAGCGAUUAAAGACAGGUGCUCUGCAGUCAGAUCAGACUGUGUGUAUUCAAAUCCCAGUUCCAAGACUUUAGUAACUAUAAUUAACUGUAUAACUGUGAGUGGGCUACUUAGACUCUAUGUACCUCACUUUUCUCAUCUCUGAAAUGGAGAUAAUAACAGUGGUACUUUUCUCAUCUUGUGGUAAGGAAUACAUGAAUAAAUGAGAAUACAGGUAAAGCCCUCAAUGCCUGACACACACUAAGGGCUCAGUAAUAGUUAUGAUGAUACGAUGAUAUAACCUAUAUUUUAGGCCAGGCUGGAGGGAAAGAGAGUGAAGGCAGGGAGACCAGUGGGGAUUCUAAGGACGUCGUGUGGAUGAGAGGUAUGGAGGUCCAUGGUGAGGUCCCCUGAAUGAGUAAGGGACCCAGGCAGAGGGCUCAAGGGGGUCUGGGCUGUUGCAGGAAGGUGGGCAGAACUCGUGUUGAGUGCUGGGGAAUGUGAGGGAGAGGUUGAGAAUGGCUUCACUGUGGGAGGCGUGGAGGGACCUCCAUCAGGGUUUGGGGAGGAGGGUAGGUUAGAGAGGUACUUGAGAGGUGAGUUGACCAAGACCUGGGGACAAGUCUCUGUGGCCAGGGAGGAGGAGAGGCAGAGUCCGGGCUGAGCACUUGUGUUUUAGGCUCCGAGUCACUGGCACCUGGGAAGCUAUCUUCAGAGUGGACAGUGGAGGAGGGUUAGUGAGAUGUGGGAGGGGACGGAGGAGAGAAGGGGCUCAGCUGUGCUGAGUGUGGGGUGAGCCCCCUGGGGAUUUGCUAUCAGGCCCGGAGCUCAGGAGCCAGGCCUGGGCUGGCGAUGGGUGUGGGGACCAUUUGAUAGGCUCGUGGUGUGGGCGAGGUCAUCCCAGGGAGGCUAAAGAUAGAGACGGGGCCUUGGAGCCCAGCCAACCCCCUGCUGAGAAGCAGCACCUUGGGAGAAGCAGCAGCCGGAGGGCUAAAGAAACCGAGGCGAGCUGUGGGCAGAGAGGGCAAGGGAAGGCUGGGCUCCAAGGAGGAGUGCAGACCAAGAGAGCUGCAUGCUGGGGACCCGGGGAGGGGCUUGGGGAGAGAGAGAGAGAGAGAGAGAGGGGCUUGGAGGCCACGAGGGACCCCUGCAGAAUGCAGCCUGGAGAAUAGGGGGCAAAAUGCAAGCUGCAGGGAGGCGAGGGAGGAAUUAAUGGAGUGGGGGAAGCGGAGAUGGAGGCAGGUGUCACACUGCCUGGAAGCGUGCUUGAGGAGAAGAGGGGGCCACCUGAAGCAGCCAGACCAGGAAGGCUCUGAGCCUCUGGGUAAAGGGGGCGGGGGGUCCUCCCUAUGUUUCAGGUAGAGAAACCGAGGCUCAUUCGUACACAGAGUUACAAUAAAUUCAUGUGAAAGACAGCCCAAGAUCUCCAACUCUUAAUGUAGCAAUUUUUUUAAAUGAACAAUUGAAAUUGUAUAAUACACACACACAUACACACAUACACACACACUUGUUUUGAUCACAGAAAUAAAACAUGCUUAUUGGAUAAACCUAGAAACGCAUGCACAAAAGUACAAGGGGAAAAUACAAAACUUAACCUGUAAUUCUACCACCCAGAGAUAAGCAUUUUUACCAUUGUGUAUUAUGACCUUCUACUUUUUUCCUCUGCAGAUAUACAGAAAUAGACACUGGGGUCAUGUACUUACUGUUUUGUAGAUCCCUUGUUUCGUUUAGCAACACGUCAUGGACGAUUUUCCAUAGUAUCAAUAAUAUAUAUUCCGUAAGACUAUUUUUUUUUCUCUUUUAGCUCACAGUCUAGUCAGGGAGACAGGACAAGGAUGGGAUCCUCUGACGAUCAAUCAGGGCAGAACAAUGAGGCUGUGUCUUAUCAGGGUGUCUGGGGCUGUGGCUAGAACACCAGACCAGGAGCCCGCUGGACUGGCUCAUUCAGUCCUGGAUUGGCCCCUGGCUCACCAUGUAGCCUUGGGUAAUAUAUUUGCCCUCUGUUGAUCUCAGAAUACCAGAAUCACAAACGGAUUAUGAGCAAGUCUCUUCAGGCCAGCUGCCAUCACUGUGAAAUGGUAGAGGGAGAGGCUUAGAAAAUCAAACGACUCUGACCAUCAUGAUUCUGCAGGUCAGAUAACUGCUUUACGCCUCAGUUUCUUCAUCUGAAAAGUGAGAAUCACAUUUACCUACUGUGCCUGCCAGGACUCUGGUGAGAAUCCAGUUAGAUGAACUGUUAUGAUGCCUAAAAACAACGAAUAUUUGGACAAUAUUUGGGCCACACCAUCUCACUUGCCAUUCCAGCAACCCUAUGAGAUGUCAAGAAUUCUAGAUGCCCUCUGAUGGGAGAUAAACUUCAUGAAGGUUCGGGGGUCUGCCACUUGGUGAAGUUUUCAGGGCCCCUCUUAUCCUGGAGCAGGAGUUGGCAAAUUUUAUCUUUAAUAAAUAUUUUAGGCUUUGCAGGGCAUAAGGUAUCCGUCACCACUACUCAGUUUUGCCAUUGUAGUGUGAAACCAGCCAUAGACAAUAGUUAAAUGAAUAGAUGCGGCUGUGUUCCAAUAAAACUUCAUUUACAAAAAUAGGAGGGGGAUCAUAUUUGGUCUGUGGAUAGCUGUUGGCCAACCCCCACCCUAGAGGAGACACUCCUUCUAAAGUAAAGGACAGACUGUUGCUCAUCACUCCUCUUACCGCUGAGAAGGGGGCACAACACUUGGUUGUAUUUUGAUGGUAGCAUUGACCACACUUGGGAGUAUUGUUUUGACCCUUAAUCAGGUGACUCAGGAGGCUUCCAGUUUUGACUACAACCCUGAGAAAAGAGGACUCUGCAGCCGAUCCAGGCUGUGAUGCCAGCUGUCCUGCUGCUUCAGCCAUGUGACCAGCAGUUACCAUGGUGCCCAAAAUGUCUACGGGAGCAUCCACUUCAGAAGAGACCGCCACUACCACUCCACCCACUUCCCUCCACCACCCUAGCCUCUCUCCUUGGCCAUCCUAGAACUUGCCAGAACCUUAUGUAAAAGACUGCUUUCUCGUGACUGUAUCAGAGAAAGGAGGGCAUCUCCAAAUACAGAAGUCUGACCCUGCUCAUGUCUAGCCCUGCAGAGAGUGGUCGAGGAAGUGAGUGAUGGUAACUGAAGCAGAGAAGGUAAGCAGGGUUCAGAUAGUAGAGGGUCUUGUGUAGCACUAGGAAGUUUGGAUUUUAUCCUGAGGGCAGUAGGAUCCAUAGAAGGAUUUUUAAGUAGGGAGUGACAAUCAGAUUCUAGAAAAAUCACAUUGGUAAUAGUGUGGAAUGUUAGGUAGAUAAGUAAAUGUGGAUACAGGGAGGCCAAUGAGAAGGCUGUUUCAGUAGUCCAGGGGAGAAGUUAGUUAUAAAUCUGUAGAUAUCAUUUAUGGUCAAGUAUUAUCAAAAUAUUUUGUGAACAUUAUCUUGUUUAAUGCUCUUAACGGUCUUGUGAGAUUAGUGUUAUCUUUGUUUUAUGUAUUGCAAAAUUGAGGUGUAAAUCAGGUAAGCAAUUUGCUCAAGGCCACACACAGACUGAUUCAGAAGCUGGGUUUCUAACUGUGGUGUGUCCAAUUUCAAAGCCCAUGAGCUUGACCAGUAAGCUACACUAUUAUUCUACUGACAUGAAUUAUAAUAGGGGCAAUUCAGAAAGAAAGAGGCAGCUAAAUGUAAGAGAUACUAAGGAGGAAGCAUCAGCAAGACUUUGUGAUUGAUGAGAUAUAGAAUCUGAAGGGAAGGGAGGAGCUGAAGUUGACAUAUAGGCAAUGGGGCAGGGCAGAGGUGGGAACCCCAUUCCUAAUUGUUUCUAUGUGGAGGAACUUUUAAAGGGACCUCCUGACCUCUCUCUGCUUCCUCAUUCUUCUUUCCUUCAAGGAGAGGAAAAGUGGCUUAGCUGGUAAGUUUGGAAAAAGCUGAGCUACUUGGUUAAGUUCCUUCCUCUUUUUUCUUUGGGAAUGGUCUACUCUUCCAUGUCUUAAGUUUUAUUGGGUUGGUCAUCAAGUGGGAGGCCUGAAGAACCCAGAGCUCUCUUUGACUGCUUGGGUGUAUCGGUUCAGAUUAAUUUCACUGCAGGUGGCAGAAAUCCAAAACACCAUAGCUUAAAUGGAUUAGAAUUUUUAUUUUUUUACAUAAUGUCCAGAGGUAGGCAGACCAAGGCCAGUGGACUUGAUGGCUUUGUGCCCUCAAAGUCCUUGAGGACCCAGUUGCCUCCUGCUUAUUGCUCAGUCAUACCUAGAGUACAGGGUGCUCUGAGGACGUAAAACUAAUAUAUUCUUGCCAUCACAUCUGUGUUCCAGGCAGCAGGAUGGGGGAAGGGAGGAAGGAGAGAAGAAGGCACAAAAUUUAGGGAGGUUUUCCUUGAAGCUGCCUUGUAGACCUUCAGUUUAUAUCUUAUUGGCCUGUAUACCUCGCUACAGGGAAAACUAGGAAUUAUAGUCUUUACUCCAAGAAACCAUUUCCUCAGCCCAAAACUGAAUGUGAAAGGCAGAAUAGGGAAUAAUCAGCAGCCUCUGCAGCAGUGGGUGUGAGUCUGCCUAAUUCAGGGAUGAACUUAACGAGCUCAUUUUCCCCAGGUCUGAACCCUGUCCUCCAAAGUAGCAUUUAAAAAAACUUUUUUAAAAAAUUUAUUUAUUUUCUUUAUUUUUAUUUUCGGUUGCAUGGGUCUUCAUUGCUGCACAUGGGUUUUCUCUAGUUGAGGUGAGCGAGGGCUACUCUUCGUUGUGGUGCACGGGCUUCUCAUUGUGGUGGCUUCUCUUGUUGCGGAGCACAGGCUCGAGGCACGUGGGCUUCAGUAGUUGCAGUACCCGGGUUCAGUAGUUGUGGCUCGUGGGGUCUAGAGUGCAGGCUCAGUAGCUGUGGCAUAUGGGCUUAGCUGCUCCGAGGCAUGUGGGAUCUUCCUGGACCAGGGCUCGAACCCGUGUCCCUGUAUUGGCAGGCGGAUUCUUAACCACUGCACCACCAGGGAAGCCCCAAACUAACAUUUAUCAGUAAAAAAGCUGACGUUUAUCUCCAUCUCUCUUACUCCUGUAUCUAUUUCUCAGUAUUCCAAGCCUGUUCACUAGAUGCUGGUGUUUGAAGUAAGACUCCCUUUUGCCCCCUAAAAUCAGCUUUAUAUUCAAUUUUGCCCAUUAGAUAAACAAUUUUGCCAAUUAGAUAAACCAUCUCCCUCCUUUUGAGGAGGAGUCGGUAGGGGGUUAAGAGACGGGCAUAAGUUACCUUCCUGUUGCCCACCCCUUCCCACCUGCAAGGAGUGGAGCACAAAUUUCCUGUGGAAACAUUAGGUUAUGGCAUCCCUGUCCCCUCUCACCACCCCAACUAAUACUAUUGGUGACAGUUGCUUGGUCAACCUACAAUAUCAGGGACACCUGAAUUCAUAAGUUUUUUCACAACUGAAGCCUUCAUAGUAUGCUUUUCUUUAUGCCCCUAAAUAUAACUUAAAAAUAACAAACCUACUGUAAUUUAUUGGGGUCUUUUAUUUUAUUUUUUUUGUGGUACACGGGUCUCUCACUGUUGUGGCCUCUCCCGUUGCAGAGCACAGGCUCCAGACACGCAGGCCCAGUGGCCAUGGCUCACGGGCCCAGCCGCUCCGUGGCAUGUGGGAUCCUCCCGGACUGGGGCACGAACCUGUGUCCCCUGCAUUGGCAGGCAGACUCUCAACCACUGCGCCACCAGGGAAGCCCUAUUGGGACCUUUUAAAUAGAGCUCGUAGUCUUCAUGUUUUUAUUCCUUGCCCCCCUCUCAUUCUGAUUUUGAUAUCCCUCAGAUCCUCUCUGAUGUUAAAGAUUGUCUGACUACCUACUUCUUGGGACAGUGUUUAGCUGCUCUUGUUGCUACUGGCUUCCUAUGAGAUUUUGCUUUCUAAAAAGUCUCUUAGAGGGAAUUCCCUGACGGUCCAGUGGUCAGGGCUCCGCACUUCCACUGCCGUGGCCUGUGUUAGAUCCCUGGUUGGGGAACUAAGAUCCCGCAAGCCACGUAGCCCGGCCAAACACAAAAAGGUCUUUUACAUAUUUCUGUAAGUCAUCAUUGAAGGGAGUUGAACUUCCUUAAACUUACUGAUUGAUAGUUAUAUGAGUUGUAGGCCUUUGAGAUUGGCUGUUUCUGAAACAUUUCUCCCAUUUUAAUUCUGCCCUGUUGGUCUCUCUUUCCAGGUUCUUUUAGGGGGAACUAUCCUCUAGAGCCUGAGGGUGAAGAGAGGGAAUUGUUGCCCUAUAUCUGCCUACUGAAUGAUGAGUGCAGAAUCCUGGGUGACCAUGGUCCUGAGCUCUUAAGGCCAGGCCCACCAGGAAUAUGAGAAACUACCAAUGAUGACAUUAGAAGAGACCUCAAAUUGGAAACAUGAAUCCAUCCUGCAAGGGCAUGGCCUCAGCCCUGAGAUUUCUUACCAGUCUGGUAAACAGUUCCACUAUCAGGAGAGAGAAGGACUCCAGGAAGCUCUCAGCCAGCUCCCAGAAGCUCUGCCCUCAGUGGCUAAGGCCAGAGAUGCACAUGAGAGAACAGCUAUUUACUGUGCUGCCAGAGGCAGUUCACAGCUGGGUACAGGAACAUUGUCCAGAAGGUGGUGAAUAAGUGGUGACAGUGGUGGAGGACGUGUCUCAGGAGAGUGGUAGGAAGAUGGCCAUUAGUGGUAGGAGAGUGAGUUCUUCACAGACUGGAGUUAGGGUUUUGGAAGUCAAGCCUGGGGUCAGUACAACUCGUAUCAGUAAUAUAUGUUUAUCUGUGAAGGUAAAACGUCAGCAUUGUAUUCAUUCAAAUUUUUGAGUGCCACCCUGAGCUAGGCAUUAGGGAUGUAAAGAUAAUCAAAAGACAUGCCCCAUACCCAUGUGAAAUUUAUGGUGCAGGAGGAGAUACAGACAUUAAACAAUUUCACAAGUGAGUAAGGAUGGUUUGAUUAUGAAGAACAAGUACAGAGUGCUAUGAGAGCUUAUACUGUUGGGUUUUGAGGGAGCUCAAAAAGCAACACCUCUCUUCUCCCCACCUGAGUUUCGAAGCAAGACACACAGGAGUCAGGCAGAUAAGUAUCAAAAUGUCAGUUCCUUUACUGACCAACUAACUGACUUGCUAAUACAAGCUGGUUUUACCACUUUAGGAAAAGGCUUUUCUACAUGAAGUUGAGGUUGAGACUUGAAAGAUAAGUAGGCAUUAGCCAGGCAUACGGGAAGGGGAUAGAUGGCAGUGGAAACAGCCUUGAGAUGGGAAGAAGGAUAGUGUGUUCAAGGAACUAAAAGAAUGCUGGUAUGGUUGAAGUAUAGGGAAGGAGGGAGAAAAUGGUUUGAGAUGAAGGUAGAGGUAGUCUGGAGCUAAAUUAUAUUUUAUCCUAAGGGUAACUACAAGAUAAUGAAGGUUUUAAGCAAAGAAGUGACAUUCAGUUUUGUGUUCUAAGAAGAUCGGUUUGUUAUGUGGAAAAUAGAUUGCAGUGGAGCAAGAAUGGAUACAGGGAGACCAGUUAGGAGGUCAUUGCAGUGGCACAGCAGAGAGAUGACAAUGACUCAAACGAGGUUGGCUGCAGUGGACUCACUAGAACUUGGUGAUUAAUGGGAUUUGCAGGGGGCAGGGGUGUGGAUUAAGGAUGCUUCUUAGAUAUCCAACUUGAGUACUAUCUACCAAGAGCAAAAAGACUAGAGGGAGAGGUAGAUUUGAUGGAAACAUGUCAGUUUUAAAAAAAAUUAAUUAAUUAAUUAAUUAUUUGGUUACACUGGGUCUUAGCUGCAGCAGGCGGGCUCCUUAGUUGUGGCUUGUGGGCUCCUUAUUUGUGGCUCGCCUGCUCCUUAGUUGUGGCAUGCGAACUCUUAGUUGCAGCAUGCAUGUGGGAUCUAGUUCCCUGACAAGGGAUCGAACCUGGGCCCCCUGCAUUGGGACCUCGGAGUCUUAACCACUGCGCCACCAGUGAAGUCCCAAUUUCAGUUUUUGAUAUGUUAAGGGCCUAUGAGGCACUUGAAUGGGAGGUCAAACAGUUGGAUUUUGUUUUUGAAGCUGAAGAAGAAAGGUCUGGGCUGGUGAAGAUUGGGAAGUUAUAAUAGCUAAAGUAAUAAUAAUUAAAGCUAUAGCAGUGAUGAGAUUGCUCAGACAGAGAGUGUAGAGAGAGAUGAGAAGACGACCUGGGGAUGGAGAUCCCCAGGAGCUCCAGUAUCUAAAGGUCCAGUUGGAUCAGGAAGAGCUGGCAAAGGAGCCUGAGGAGUAGCAGUAUUUGACAUGGAGAGUCUUGUCUUGGGCUCUGUCAGUCUAUAGAAGGAGGACCUCAUUAGGUCUGGUGCCUCAGGCACAGCAGACCCAGCCUCCAUUGUGGGAGUCCAGUGCUGGAGCAGUCCUCCUCGCCUCUAUUGCUCUGCCAGCUCCGCAGGCAUCAGCCUCCCUACGAGAAUGAAGGACCACCACAGGAAGGUAGCUGUACUUGUUAUGUCCAGGUCUCAGGAGAGCUAGAAUCCUCUUGCCCCUCUAACAUCCUUUUGUGACUUGGUCCUUCCCUUCUUUUCUGUUCUUCCCAGGAAUUCCUACCUGGGCUGAUGGGGCCCCCUGAAUUUUUAAAUUGUCCUUACUACCAUUUCCACUAUCCUUAUUUCCCCUGUCCCUUAAACACCCACCACAUGUGUGGAUAGCAGACACUUGGUUACAUUCAAUCUCCCCUGGGUUCUACUCACAAGGUCUAAGUCCUUUUUAAAAAUAAUGUUACUUGUUUGCCUUUGCAUUCAUGUAAAUCUCACCUUUAAUUUAUUGCAGAUAACCUGUUUUUAAAAGGAAGGUUUCUAUGUCUUUUUUAUUUAUUGUGCAAACAAUAAGGUUUGCUUUCUUUAAUUUCUCCUCUACGGGUAGUGAGCCCUCCUCUAUUCUCCUAAAACCCUGACCUGAAAUGUCUUAGUUAAGGUCACAGGAGACUUUUCUCCAGAAUUCGUUUUUUAAAAGUGGGUGAUCCUGAUUAUGUCAGGCCUUAUACUAGUGAAAUAACUUAAGAACCAAGUUAUUUGAAGGGUAAGGGUGGAUGGGCUGGGAUGUGUCCUGAUAUAGGUCAAAGUCUGUGAAAGGGACCGAAUUGCUUAUUCAGCUUUGUAUCCACAAAAUUAAAUCCAGUGACCUAACUCUUAAUAAAUGUUUGAAGGAUGGAUGGAUACAUGGACGCAUGGAUGGAUGGAUGGACAGAUGGUUAAAUACAUGGCCUCUGCUAGAAUAAGAGAUGUGUAUGGAAUAGAAACCCCAAAAUCUCUGAAGAAAUUAAAAAAGAGAUAUGAACUUAACUUCCUCUUGAGCUCUGCUUGUUUUACCUGAUAAGAUCUGCCUCUCAUCUAUGACCUGGCAUGAUCAAACUCUGGCCCUAAAAAAAGCAAAGGAGGACAGGAAAGAAGUGAGAAGAGGGACCACAGCAAGACAAAUGGUAAGGAAUCUAUCCCCUGACGUGCUGGUGCACAGGAGUGAUACAUGUUAAAAAUCUAAGAACUCUUUCAAUACCUAUUCAACAAAAAUUCAAUGUGAAGGAUUAAUCUCCAAAAUAUACAAACAGCUCAUGCAGCUCAAUAUCAAAAAAACAAACAACCCAAUCCAAAAAUGGGCAGAAGACCUAAGCAGACAUUUCUCCAAAGAAGAUAUACAGAUUACCAACAAACACAUGAAAGGAUGCUGAACAUCACUAAUCAUUAGAGAAAUGCAAAU